CUGCUUUGGGUGAGUCUGGUUGAUGGAGCCAUGAUAGGGUAGAUGGUUGGAUGUCUGGAGCAGAAAGUAUUGACAACAAAUGAGCAGCUGAAGAAUAUGUAACUUUGGGACUUCAUCUUUUUAAAAAGAAGACACUGAUGAUGAAAUAGCAUGAUGAACGAAGAACUAUGAAACACACACCGUAAGAAAAGAACAAUAAAGAUGUAACAAGCAUGAUAAACAUAAGCUACGAAACACGGCGUUAUGAAACUGACAGCUUCCGCUACCUGUGUCUUAGAACAAUCGCUCUUGAAAACCAGCCACCAUGCUGUGAGGAAGACCAAAGAAUCCCAUGGGGAAGCCCACAUAGAGAAGAACUGGAAGUUCCAGACUGAAGACCUGCUGUGUUCCCAAACAAAAUGAAGCAAUUUUCUAUGGCCUAAUUAUCUCUGAUUUCUGACAAGACCAAAUUUCUGGCCUUGCAAGGCUGAGGACUAAGCCUGAAGUGUGAUGACUCAGUCACUGGGUUCUAUCCCUAAAUGGCUCCAAGAUCUCUGACGGACAUUGCAGCAUUAUAAAGCUGGGAAAUUAACACA